UGUAAAUGUUGUAAAGGUGCCUGUUGUAAAUUGUUGGAAUUUGGGCUGGAGCGAACUGGAGAGAAGGAAGCAGAAGAAGAAUAGUAGAAGAGAUGCAAUGGUUUAUGCAAGAGCUGUUUGGUUUGAGCAGGACAAACUGUUUGAAGGUGUCAUCCCCAAAAAUUGGAUACAAAAAGACAAGAAUGUUGUAAGGCCCAAGACCCGUGUGCAGGCCCAUAAAAAGAAAAAGGAUCCCGAGGAUGAAUGGGAGACUUUCUCACUGGUCAAAAUAAAGAUGAUAUCAGAAAAUGAGAGAGACUGUGAGGAUUACAGUUACACUUCAUCCCAAACUGACCAUAAAAGUGCCGCUACAAUACCAGGAGUCAACCAGAAGAGACGUACAAAGAAGAGGACUUAUGAUGAUUUUACUGACAGAAAAGAUAUGUCUGAAGAUGAGAUCUCAACAGUUAAGAAAAAGAUGGAUCAGUAAAGUAUGAAUACCAUUUUGACUGUUUUUAACAGUUGUAUAUCUAGCUAACAGAAGUCUCCAAAGACUCCUGAAAAACAGAAGAAAGCUCCUGCUAUUGAUCAAAGCACUGCUGAAGGGCAUUCCAGCUCUAGAUUGGAGCAUUACUCCUCCAGUCAUCAUUCGACCCAUGAAAGUGAUGAAAGAUGCUCCACUUCCCGUUCUCAAUCACCAGAGGGCUUAUCUUCUGGACCUUCGUCUCCCAUGCUUGGGCUGUCCAGCCCUAGAAGGGAGCGUUCCAACUCCUCCAUUCAGCAGUCAGGACGCUCCACAUCUUCUCAUCGGCAGUUGUCAAUGGGCUCAACAUCUCGCAGACGUAAGAAAGAAAAUCAGCUUAUUAGAAAACAUUGUUG